GGCACAUAUAAACAUGUUUUCACUUCAUGCCAGCAAAAGAGCCCUGGGGUGAACACUCAGUAACGGGGAGCAGCCCUGGCUGCUGUUGCCGCUGCUGGAAAGCCAUCUGGUAUGAAGGAAGAUGUGUCUAAGAACAGGGUCUGACAGAGUCCUCAGAGACUUAUCACAGCCUGCUCAAGCCGCAGGCACAAACAGAUGGCAUCAGAUGCGAAUGAAACAAGAAACAAGACCAUCUCUCUCCUAGGGCCUUGUUGACUGGAGGCUAACAUGUAAGGGGCCUGUGAGUGUUGUUGAAAAGACACAGAACUCAACUGCAGGGGAGACAGGUUUUUCUAUACACAUACUUGGCCUGUCCUUGC
rnacentral:lncRNA from 1 species